AGGUUAAAAAAAAAGGCCACUCAUUAAAGGACUAUAGAGCUCGGUGGACAGAAAGCAGGUGAAUGUACCUGUGCUAAACCUUACAUGGGAUUUUGUGCCAUAGGAAUUUCUGGAGCCACAACAGUCUCAUGAGUUCCAAUAUCAUCAGUUCAGAAGCCUUUACUCCUACAAAGAAGAUGGGGAUUCAUGCUCUAACAACUUGAAAGAGAAAGAAUCUGGCCUCAGGAAAGGAUCUGAAGUCAUCAGAAAAUCUAUUCUCUGCUCUUCGUCAUGGUAAUCUGUGCUCCAGCAGGCUAACUUGUAUGGACUACAUCAUCUGAAUUCUCUUGCUCUCUUAUUUCUCAUUGGGUUCAUCCAGGGGCUUGUCAACUACUGUGAUCAUCAUUACAAAGCUAUUAAUGCUGAGUUAUUACUCUUCUAUCCUCAGUUCAGUUUAAACUUCCUUUGAGUGGUUUUUCACAAGCUAGCCACCAAGCAAUACUAUGAUGAUAAAAAUAAAGAUAAGACAAAGGAACUGU